UGGAAAGGAAGGGAAGGGAAGCUCCAUUCGCAUUCGCAAGCACUGGGCGCGGAGAUCUUCGCUUCCGAUCCAUAUCCGGCGUUUCUUCUCCGUCAGGUGGGUUCCACAGCGAUACCCACCUCCAUAUCUUGCCGCAAUCGGAGCCAUAUUCCGGAGCCAGGCUCGCAACACAGAGUGCGCCAUACCAUACAGAAGCAGAAGAAGAAGCAGAAGACAUUGGGAUCCGUUUCAUGGUACUGAAUGCGCCGCUGACGGUGUCGUCCUGUGAAGCUUUGACGGUGGACGGGAUUUGAGAGGUCGAAGAGAACCAGCCGAACGAGACUCUGGGUGUUGAAGUUGUGUGUGGCGGAGAAGCGAUGGUUGCUCCGGGUGGGUGGCGUGUGCAGAUUGCGCCUGAGUUGGUGGUGUAGGGGAGCAAAAGAGGAAAAAGAAGAUUAUUGACGGUUAUCGGAGGGUGUAGAUGUUUCUGUAACCUACUUUCCGGGCCUUCUGGUACUUAGGGGUGUGUAUCAUAUGUAUGCCGUGGAGACGCGAAGUAUUCUCGGCGAGACCGGGGGGAGAGCAAGGGAAAGGGGAAGGAAUCGUCGACAGCUCAGUUUGACCACUGGAGUGGACCCUUAGACAGGCGGAAGGGGAAGAAGAGGUGCAAGCUAGAACUGGCGGUCAUCAUGCGAGCGCUUGUGUUACUCAAACCUUCUUAUGUAACCCGGGCGAGGAAGAACGGACUGGUAGUCGAGGUGCGGACGACUCAGUUUUUGUAUUAGUAUGAUCAAGCCAUCCAAGAAAGAUUUCAAAUUCUCGAAAUUGGUUUUUGUCUUCUCUUUGCCUGUGAAGUCUUCAAGGAGUUUGGCGGGUGUAGAGAAUGGUGUUAUCGUCGAUUUCAAGACGCAUGUGGUGCACGAGAUAUUUUUGGGGGAGAGGAGACAGUGAUUUUUCAUUAGUCUGAGGUUAUGAUUGUAAGAGUGUCUGACCACUAGGAGGUCUGGUUACUAGGGUUAAGCACGGAGCUGGAGGGUCUCACUAGGGCUGGACUGACUGGAGACAGCGGAUCUGGAAAGCAAGGGUAACCGGAAACAGAUGUGGUCAAGGCAACAUAUUACGUUGCAAAGAUAGGGAUUUUCUGGAGUUCAUAUUGUUGCGAGGUGUAGGAGUGAGGGAUUAGGAGAAAAUGGCACAGCUUUCGGGUUUGGAGCUGGCAGCUUAUGACAAGAGCCCUGUGCAUGCCGCUGUCGCACGGCGAGACCACAUCACUCUGCAGCGAAUUCUGUCCAAGCUGCCACGCCCUGUGAAGGCGGGAGAGGUGACAACGGAAGCAGAGUCUAUCGCAGCGGAGGAGCGAGCGGACGAGAUUUCGAAGGUUAUAGAUAGGCGUGAUGUGCCUGGGCGUGAGACGCCCUUGCAUUUAGCUGUGAGGCUCGGAGACGCAGAUGCCGUAGAGAUGUUGAUGAGUGCUGGCGCAGACUGGAGUUUGCAAAAUGAGCAAGGUUGGAGUGCAUUGCAGGAGGCUGUGUGCGCAAGGGAGGAGGGAAUUGCCAUCAUCAUCACGCGGCACUAUCAACCCAUGGCGUGGGCGAAGUGGUGCCGUCGGUUGCCGCGCCUUUCAGCUACCAUGCAUCGGAUGCGGGACUUUUACAUGGAGAUUUCUUUUCAUUUCGAGAGCUCUGUUAUACCAUUCAUAGGUCGCAUUGCACCGUCUGAUACUUACCGGAUAUGGAAACGGGGCUCUAAUCUUAGGGCAGAUAUGACUCUCGCAGGCUUCGAUGGAUUCCGAAUCCACAGAUCCGAUCAGAGCUUUGUGUUUUUGGGUGAUGGAAGCGAAGAUGGGAAACUUGCACCUGGUACUCUUUGUGUUUUGACUCACAAGGAUAAGGAAGUUGCAAAUGCAUUGGAGGGUGCUGGGGUACAACCGUCAGAGAAUGAGAUUGCACAAGAAGUCGCUGCCAUGUCAAGGACUAACAUGUACAGGCCAGGCAUUGAUGUCACCGAGGCAGAGCUGGUCGCUCAAACGUCGUGGAGGCGACAAGAAAAGACAGAAAUGGUGGGAGCAUGGAAGGCAAAAGUUCAUGACAUGCACCAUGUUCAGGUGAGCGUUAGGUCUAGAAGAGUUCCUGGUGCGAUGACGGAUGAGGAGCUAUUUGCACUCGAUAGUGACAGGGUAGAUACAGAGGCAGACGAAGAUUAUAGCAAUUUACUUACAACUGCAGAGAAAGAGCAGCUGGAAAAUGUUCUGAAGGCGGAGCAUUUAGAUGAGAACCGCACCGGUGGUGCAGAAAGGCUAGACCAUGAGUUGCAGAAUGGGAAUUUUGUUUACCUGAACGAAGAUUCAGAUGACGAAUCCGACUCACAUCUUAGGCAAUCACCCCAUGAGAACGGGAAUGGUGAAUUGCUUGGAUCUUCCAAAGAUGAAAAAAGGAGUCGGUGGUAUGCUUGGGGAAAGAAGAGUGUGAAAGCUUCUAAGAAGCUGGAUUCGCUUAGUGACAAAGGUUCUGAUUCAGGUCAUUCAAGUGCCGAGGCCCCAAGGAAAUCUAAACAAGGUCCUGGUUUACCCACACCUGACUCCCAACUAAAGCUAUUAAAGCAAAGGAAAUCCGUGGAUGGGCGCAGGUCUGUAGAUAGUCAGUUAGCUGCCUAUGAGAACCAAAAUCGGCCGUCUGUAGAUCGGCGACCGUCGAAUGUUGAUGACCUGCUGUCAGCAAAAGGAAAGGGGAAAGAAUUGAAAAGUGGCAGACAUAGUACCAGUAGUAAGGAGUUGAUCAAGAGCAAGUCCCGUCGUGGUACUCCCAAGCCUGAGGCUACAUCGGAGAGUGAGUACAAAAAGGGGCUGAGACCAAUUUUGUGGCUGACACCUGACUACCCUUUGAAGACCGAGGAGUUGUUACCGCUCCUGGACAUUCUAGCAAACAAGGUCAAGGCAGUUCGGCGAUUGCGUGAAUUGCUUACUACAAAGUUGCCUCCAGGAACCUUCCCUGUUAAGGUGGCUAUUCCCGUGGUGCCGACAAUCAGAGUGGUUAUCACCUUCACCAAAUUCGAGGAACUGAAACCGGCGGAAGAAUUUUCAACCCCUUUAUCCAGCCCCAGGCACUUCAGUGAUGCCAAGUCAGAGGCAGACGCAGCGCCAGCCCCGUCUCAGGGCUCCUGGUUGUACUGGAUGAGAGGCGCUCCAGGUUCAGGCAAGAGUGCUACAGUGAGCAGCUUGGAGGAGCAGCUUGAGGAAGAGGCUGAUCCAUUCAUGAUUCCUCCCAACUAUCGAUGGAUUGACAUGGAAGAGAAGAAACGCCGCUUACGCGAAAAGAAGGGCCGAAGCAAGAAGGUUAAGAAGCCUCCCCGACCUCCAUCCUCACAGGAUGUGGACACUAACAAUUAGUCUCUGGCAUUGAGUUUGUGAGAAGCAUUGUUUGUAGAUUGAUAUAAGUUAGGUGUUUAACUGAGGCUAAUCUAAGGUUGUGACGCUUGGAGGGGCUUGGAGGAGCAUGAGGCAAUUUGCUAUUGUUUUUGACAAGUCAUUUUCACUGCCAAUCAUUUGUUGGAGGCAACAGGUGGCUGGGUAUUCUUUCGCAGGACCAACAGAAUGAAAAUCUGGCACGGAUUUGUUUGACACUGAGAAGCCACAAUAAGUUGGAGAUGUGCAGUAUACUGAGAUGAAGCCAAGUACAGGUCAUCAUAGCUGACCAUCUUCAGGCACUGCAUUUAUAUUUCAUUUUAAGCGUUUGGCACUGAAGAAGAGCUUUUCAGAGCUUCUAAUGGGCUUCAAGACGGAGCUGUUUAUGUCGCACAGACAUCCCCACCAAUGAUGUGCUUUCUGGACUGAAAUUUGAGUCCUUGACCCGGUGUCCAGCGGAGCUCAACUAAGUAGUAACGGCCCUAAUCCCGUUUUUUAAAAAUUCGUUACUAACUUGGUUGGCAAACUCAGCGAGAUUCAGUUUAGAUCCUUUACAUCUUAAGAGAGUAUUUUGAAGGAUUUACUUCAAAGAGCAUGCAAGAAGAGAAACAGUCGAAAAUCAAAGUCGAAAUUGCAUCUAAAACCGAGUAAUCUUUUUUUUGAACAGAGGUUUCACGCGCCAGGUAGGGGUCGGACCUACGACUUUCUGCUUAGGAAACAGACGCUCUAUCCACUGAGCUACAGGCGCUCAAGACUACGUCGAAAUUGAUUAUUUCUUUUAAUCUGAUACUUCUAAAGUUCUGUUGUGAUUAUUAA